rnacentral:lncRNA from 1 species
CUGCCGUCCAAGAAAAUGGCGGCCUUUUGAUGCAGACCUCGUGGAAAAAAUGCGAAUUUUCAUGGCAGAAUUUCGGACGCUUCUUAAAUAGUUAGGUACAUGAAAGUUUUUACAAAACUUAAGUACAUUUCUUUGAAUAGUUGUAAAUGGUUUUUUAAACAAAUUUUAUCAACCGGUGUUUGGAAAUAGCGAUAUUAAAUUCGGGGGAGGUGUAUAAUACUAUAAUCAUUGAUUUAUAUAAUCCUACUUAAUUUCUAUGGGCAGGGUAUAAAAAAAAUCAAAUUUCCAUGGAAAAAGGCAUGUUUUCUUGGGGGCUAACAUGCAUUUGCAGGGAGGUAACUGGGAUAAAUAUGAAUUUGCAGUAAAAGAACGAUANNNNNNNNNNNNNNNNNNNNUCUUGAAAUUUCCACACCAAAUAGCAAUUUUCAAUAGCUUCAAUUUGAUAUAUAGCCCGACGUUUGGGGUCAAGUAUUUCUGCUCAUAACUCAGAAAAACUAUUUUGGCUUCAUCAAAUCAUAGGCCUUCAUCAUAGCAGUUAGCUUUCCAGUUUAUUUAUAGUUCAAUGGGCCUACAUGAUAAAUCCAAGAUGGCGGUACAACAGGGCAAAAAGACUAUAAAUUCUAUUAAGAAAAUCAGGAUUUUUGCAUUUUUUGCCGUCGCAUUGUUUUGAAACUUAUUCGGUCAAAUUUUAUGGUAAAGAGAAACGUACCGCGACGAUUUUGAGNNNNNNNNNNNNNNNNNNNNUUUCUUGGGGGCUAACAUGCAUUUGCAGGGAGGUAACUGGGAUAAAUAUGAAUUUGCAGUAAAAGAACGAUAUUUCCAUUCCUGGUAUUUAUUAUGUGAUCAAUAUCCUCUUGUAAUAGAUAGCUCUUAAUAAUUUUAGGUCUUUACGACUGUGACUUUACAGACAACACAUGUGGAUGGCGACAGUCGUCUUUUGAUGACUUUGAAUGGGCACGAACUUCCGAAGGUACACCUUCCAGAAACACUGGACCUGAUUGGGAUCACACUGGAUUGAUCGAAGGCGUGGAGGAAUCCCAUGGUAACGAAACUUUUUCUGUCUUUGUUAAGGCUGAUGGAAUAUAUGGGAUCGGCACGAAGCUCUAGGAAGAUGUUCUGUGA